rnacentral:lncRNA from 1 species
UGACGGGGCAUGUGGCCUUUCAUACUUUCUUUCUAAAAAAUUCUUAAAUACAUACCAUUAAAUACAUCUAAAAUUUCAUUGUAAGAUUAAUACUUCAAACAAUCCUACUCUUUUAUAAAUACAUAGCAGAACCUUUCAAAGGUUUGGUUGUAUAGUCUCUCAAUCUCUAAUGGCUCACAUUUUAACAGCCCCAUAUCAUCGCACCAGGAGUCAGCAUCUUAGCAGC